rnacentral:rRNA from 1 species
UACGUAGGCAGCAAGCGUUGUUCGGAGUUACUGGGCGUAAAGGGUGUGUAGGCGGUUGUUUUAAGUUUGGUGUGAAAUCUCCCGGCUCAACCGGGAGGGUGCGCCGAAUACUGAAUGACUUGGAGUGCGGGAGAGGAAAGUGGAAUUCCUGGUGUAGCGGUGAAAUGCGUAGAUAUCAGGAGGAACACCGGUGGUGUAGACGGCUUUCUGGACAAUUCCUGACGCUGAGACACGAAAGCGUGGGUAGCAAACAGG